GUAGGGAAUAUUGGGCAAUGGAGGCAACUCUGACCCAGCCAUGCCGCGUGCAGGAUGACGGCCCUCUGGGUUGUAAACUGCUUUUAUACGGGAAGAAAAAAUACUACGUGUAGUAUACUGACGGUACCGUAAGAAUAAGGAUCGGCUAACUCCGUGCCAGCAUCCGCGGUAAUACGGAGGAUCCAAGCGUUGUCCGGAUUUAUUGGGUUUAAAGGGUGCGUAGGCGGAUCUUUAAGUCAGUGGUGAAAGCCUGCAGCUUAACUGUAGAAUUGCCAUUGAAACUGAAGAUCUUGAAUGUGGUUAAAGUAGGCGGAAUGUAUCAUGUAGCGGUGAAAUGCUUAGAUAUGAUACAGAACACCGAUAGCGAAGGCAGCUUGCUGAACCAUUAUUGACGCUGAGGCACGAAAGCGUGGGGAGCGAACAGGAUUAGAUACCCGAGUAGUCC
rnacentral:rRNA from 1 species